AGCAAUACCUGAGUAAAGCGGCGCACGGGUGAGUAACACGUGGAUAACCUGCCUCGAAGUGGGGAAUAACACCGGGAAACCGGUGCUAAUACCGCAUACACUGAUAAGCUCUGCGGAUUUUAUCAGGAAAGGAGCAAUUCGCUUUGAGAGGGGUCCGCGGCUGAUUAGCUAGUUGGUGGGGUAAUGGCUCACCAAGGCAACGAUCAGUAGCCGGUCUGAGAGGACGGUCGGCCACACUGGAACUGAGACACGGUCCAGACUCCUACGGGAGGCAGCAGUGGGGAAUUUUUCGCAAUGGGGGAAACCCUGACGAAGCAAUGCCGCGUGGGUGAUGAAGUCUCUUGGGACGUAAAACCCUUUCGACGGGGACGAAGCCGCAAGGUUGACGGUACCCGUAGAAGAAGCCCCGGCUAACUCCGUGCCAGCAGCCGCGGUAAUACGGGGGGGGCAAGCGUUGUUCGGAAUUACUGGGCGUAAAGGGUGCGUAGGCGGCUCUCUAAGUCGGAUGUGAAAACUCUGGGCUCAACCCAGAGCCUGCAUCCGAAACUGGAGGGCUAGGGUUCUGGAGGGGAAAGCGGAAUUCCUGGUGUAGCGGUGAAAUGCGUAGAUAUCAGGAGGAACACCGGUGGCGAAGGCGGCUUUCUGGACAGACACCGACGCUGAGGCACGAAAGCUAGGGGAGCAAACAGGAUUAGAUACCCUGGUAGUCCUAGCCCUAAACGAUGGAUACUUGCUGUGAGGGGGAUUG
rnacentral:rRNA from 1 species